rnacentral:misc_RNA from 1 species
UGGUGAAGAAGCUCAAGAAGAC